rnacentral:rRNA from 1 species
GACGAACGCUGGCGGCGUGCUUAACACAUGCAAGUCGAACGGAAAGGCCCUGCUUGCAGGGUGCUCGAGUGGCGAACGGGUGAGUAACACGUGGGUGAUCUGCCCCUUACUUUGGGAUAAGCCUGGGAAACUGGGUCUAAUACUGGAUAGGACCAUGCUGUAGGUGGUGUGGUGGAAAGAUUAGUUUCGGUAAGGGAUGAGCUCGCGGCCUAUCAGCUUGUUGGUGGGGUAAUGGCCUACCAAGGCGUCGACGGGUAGCCGGCCUGAGAGGGUGGACGGCCACAUUGGGACUGAGAUACGGCCCAGACUCCUACGGGAGGCAGCAGUGGGGAAUAUUGCACAAUGGGCGCAAGCCUGAUGCAGCGACGCCGCGUGGGGGAUGACGGCCUUCGGGCUGUAAACUCCUUUCAGCCAUGACGAAGCCUUCGGGUGACGGUAGUGGUAGAAGAAGCACCGGCUAACUACGUG